rnacentral:lncRNA from 1 species
GAAAACAUGGUGUUAUUGUGACAAAUGAUUGAAAUAGCACCUUGUGGCAUUGAAUGCUAGUGAUUGAAAUAGCCGGUGAUUUUGGCCCAACAAAUUAUUAUUGCUAGCGGGUCAGUGUCUGAUGAGUCUUGACUGAGUCAGGGUUUGACUGAGUCAGGGUUGGUGAAUGACAGACUAUGUUAGGAUCGAAAUGACAAAUGAUAAAGACUAGUGAGACAAGUCUCACAUCAGGUGAUCUUGGGCUUAAAUGGGGAGAUGUCUAAACAUAAUAACUGAGCUUAAGUAUUUUGGACCAGUAGUUUUGACCCAAUAAGUUAUUAUUGCUAGUGGAUCGUGUCGUUACAAAAUAUUUUGUGGAUUUUAAUCUUCCUCGAAUGUUUGGAAGUUGAAGUUAUAUGUAAAACAUCUUUUU